rnacentral:lncRNA from 1 species
CUAUGAUAAGUUUAUUAACUAUGGACCAUCAUCCGAACAAUUCCCCACAUCUGAAAAAUUAUAGAUGUUGAAGAGGAGGAAGAAGAGCACAGCAGCAAGCAAAUAAAUAACCUGCUUGCCAUGCGCCACUAGUUCCUAUCCUCUUCAGCCUUCAUCGCUCUCAGCCUCUCACCGCACACCCGGAACAAUAUACACAAGCCUACACUGCGGCCAUUAUUAUAUAAGAAAGUCGCUCCGCUUACUUGGUCAUGUACAGGUACCGGCCGGUCUCAUUCGUCCCCUAUGAACUCGAACUCGUCCUCCCGGAGGUGGACGAAGAGCUUGACCGGCUUGGGCUGGCCCUCGACGCUGACCUGGAACUCCACCUUGAAGGGGAAGUUGGCGGUGAUGCGCUUCCCUUUCCAGACGCCCACGUACUGCUUGAUGACGCCCUCCAUGCCCUGGAUGUCUAGGUCGGGCGCCUUCACGACGUGAUAGACGCGGAGGGGAGCCGUGACGCGCACGCGCUUGCCGACCUUUGGCGCGUGCUCUGCCUCCUCUUCGGCCACGUCGGGCGACGACGACGAUACGUCGCUGGUGAGGGAGACCUGGCGCGCGGUGCGGAGGCGCGAGGCGCGGGGCAGCGGCCCGAGGCCGCGGCCGGCCGUGGAGGCGGGGCAAGGGAGGCGGCGGAGGAAGAGGACAGAGGAGGUGGAAGUGGAGGGAGGCGCCAUGGUCGCGGUGGUCGUUGCCAUUGCGGCGAUUGGAAUGUGGAGUGUGCGGGGAGGAGCCGGGUCGAACAGGUGGUGGG